rnacentral:misc_RNA from 1 species
GAUGAAGAACGUAGUGAAAUGCGAUAAGUAAUGUGAAUUGCAGAAUUCAGUGAAUCAUCGAAUCUUUGAACGCACAUUGCGCCCAUUAGUAUUCUAGUGGGCAUGCCUGUUCGAGCGUCAUUUCAACCCUUAAGCCUAGCUUAGUAUUGGGAAUCGACUUUACUGUCGUUCCUCAAAUUCAACGGCGGAUUUAUAGCAAUCUCUGAACGUAGUAAUUUUUUUCCUUGUUUUUGAAAUACUAUAAACCUCAGCCGCUAAACCCCCAAUUUUUUUAUGGUUGACCUCGGAUCAGGUAGGAAUACCCGCUGAACUUAAGCAUAUCAAUAAGCGGAGGA